AACGAACGCUGGCGGCAUGCCUAACACAUGCAAGUCGAACGAGACCUUCGGGUCUAGUGGCGCACGGGUGCGUAACGCGUGGGAACCUGCCCUUAGGUUCGGAAUAACUCCCCGAAAGGGGUGCUAAUACCGGAUAAUGUCUUCGGCCCAAAGAUUUAUCGCCUUUGGAUGGGCCCGCGUUGGAUUAGCUAGUUGGUAGGGUAAAAGCCUACCAAGGCGACGAUCCAUAGCUGGUCUGAGAGGAUGAUCAGCCACACUGGGACUGAGACACGGCCCAGACUCCUACGAGAGGCAGCAGUGGGGAAUAUUGGACAAUGGGCGAAAGCCUGAUCCAGCAAUGCCGCGUGAGUGAUGAAGGCCUUAGGGUUGUAAAGCGCUUUUACCCGGGAUGAUAAUGACAGUACCGGGAGAAUAAGCUCCGGCUAACUCCGUG
rnacentral:rRNA from 1 species